rnacentral:rRNA from 1 species
GGUUAAGCGACUAAGCGUACACGGUGGAUGCCCUGGCAGUCAGAGGCGAUGAAGGACGUGCUAAUCUGCGAUAAGCGUCGGUAAGGUGAUAUGAACCGUUAUAACCGGCGAUUUCCGAAUGGGGAAACCCAGUGUGAUUCGUCACACUAUCAUUAACUGAAUCCAUAGGUUAAUGAGGCGAACCGGGGGAACUGAAACAUCUAAGUACCCCGAGGAAAAGAAAUCAACCGAGAUUCCCCCAGUAGCGGCGAGCGAACGGGGAGCAGCCCAGAGCCUGAAUCAGUGUGUGUGUUAGUGGAAGCGUCUGGAAAGGCGCGCGAUACAGGGUGACAGCCCCGUACACAAAAAUGCACAUGCUGUGAGCUCGAUGAGUAGGGCGGGACACGUGGUAUCCUGUCUGAAUAUGGGGGGACCAUCCUCCAAGGCUAAAUACUCCUGACUGACCGAUAGUGAACCAGUACCGUGAGGGAAAGGCGAAAAGAACCCCGGCGAGGGGAGUGAAAAAGAACCUGAAACCGUGUACGUACAAGCAGUGGGAGCACGCUUAGGCGUGUGACUGCGUACCUUUUGUAUAAUGGGUCAGCGACUUAUAUUCUGUAGCAAGGUUAACCGAAUAGGGGAGCCGAAGGGAAACCGAGUCUUAACUGGGCGUUAAGUUGCAGGGUAUAGACCCGAAACCCGGUGAUCUAGCCAUGGGCAGGUUGAAGGUUGGGUAACACUAACUGGAGGACCGAACCGACUAAUGUUGAAAAAUUAGCGGAUGACUUGUGGCUGGGGGUGAAAGGCCAAUCAAACCGGGAGAUAGCUGGUUCUCCCCGAAAGCUAUUUAGGUAGCGCCUCGUGAAUUCAUCUCCGGGGGUAGAGCACUGUUUCGGCAAGGGGGUCAUCCCGACUUACCAACCCGAUGCAAACUGCGAAUACCGGAGAAUGUUAUCACGGGAGACACACGGCGGGUGCUAACGUCCGUCGUGAAGAGGGAAACAACCCAGACCGCCAGCUAAGGUCCCAAAGUCAUGGUUAAGUGGGAAACGAUGUGGGAAGGCCCAGACAGCCAGGAUGUUGGCUUAGAAGCAGCCAUCAUUUAAAGAAAGCGUAAUAGCUCACUGGUCGAGUCGGCCUGCGCGGAAGAUGUAACGGGGCUAAACCAUGCACCGAAGCUGCGGCAGCGACGCUUAUGCGUUGUUGGGUAGGGGAGCGUUCUGUAAGCCUGUGAAGGUGUGCUGUGAGGCAUGCUGGAGGUAUCAGAAGUGCGAAUGCUGACAUAAGUAACGAUAAAGCGGGUGAAAAGCCCGCUCGCCGGAAGACCAAGGGUUCCUGUCCAACGUUAAUCGGGGCAGGGUGAGUCGACCCCUAAGGCGAGGCCGAAAGGCGUAGUCGAUGGGAAACAGGUUAAUAUUCCUGUACUUGGUGUUACUGCGAAGGGGGGACGGAGAAGGCUAUGUUGGCCGGGCGACGGUUGUCCCGGUUUAAGCGUGUAGGCUGGUUUUCCAGGCAAAUCCGGAAAAUCAAGGCUGAGGCGUGAUGACGAGGCACUACGGUGCUGAAGCAACAAAUGCCCUGCUUCCAGGAAAAGCCUCUAAGCAUCAGGUAACAUCAAAUCGUACCCCAAACCGACACAGGUGGUCAGGUAGAGAAUACCAAGGCGCUUGAGAGAACUCGGGUGAAGGAACUAGGCAAAAUGGUGCCGUAACUUCGGGAGAAGGCACGCUGAUAUGUAGGUGAAGCGACUUGCUCGUGGAGCUGAAAUCAGUCGAAGAUACCAGCUGGCUGCAACUGUUUAUUAAAAACACAGCACUGUGCAAACACGAAAGUGGACGUAUACGGUGUGACGCCUGCCCGGUGCCGGAAGGUUAAUUGAUGGGGUCAGCGCAAGCGAAGCUCUUGAUCGAAGCCCCGGUAAACGGCGGCCGUAACUAUAACGGUCCUAAGGUAGCGAAAUUCCUUGUCGGGUAAGUUCCGACCUGCACGAAUGGCGUAAUGAUGGCCAGGCUGUCUCCACCCGAGACUCAGUGAAAUUGAACUCGCUGUGAAGAUGCAGUGUACCCGCGGCAAGACGGAAAGACCCCGUGAACCUUUACUAUAGCUUGACACUGAACAUUGAGCCUUGAUGUGUAGGAUAGGUGGGAGGCUUAGAAGUGUGGACGCCAGUCUGCAUGGAGCCGACCUUGAAAUACCACCCUUUAAUGUUUGAUGUUCUAACGUUGACCCGUAAUCCGGGUUGCGGACAGUGUCUGGUGGGUAGUUUGACUGGGGCGGUCUCCUCCUAAAGAGUAACGGAGGAGCACGAAGGUUGGCUAAUCCUGGUCGGACAUCAGGAGGUUAGUGCAAUGGCAUAAGCCAGCUUGACUGCGAGCGUGACGGCGCGAGCAGGUGCGAAAGCAGGUCAUAGUGAUCCGGUGGUUCUGAAUGGAAGGGCCAUCGCUCAACGGAUAAAAGGUACUCCGGGGAUAACAGGCUGAUACCGCCCAAGAGUUCAUAUCGACGGCGGUGUUUGGCACCUCGAUGUCGGCUCAUCACAUCCUGGGGCUGAAGUAGGUCCCAAGGGUAUGGCUGUUCGCCAUUUAAAGUGGUACGCGAGCUGGGUUUAGAACGUCGUGAGACAGUUCGGUCCCUAUCUGCCGUGGGCGCUGGAGAACUGAGGGGGGCUGCUCCUAGUACGAGAGGACCGGAGUGGACGCAUCACUGGUGUUCGGGUUGUCAUGCCAAUGGCACUGCCCGGUAGCUAAAUGCGGAAGAGAUAAGUGCUGAAAGCAUCUAAGCACGAAACUUGCCCCGAGAUGAGUUCUCCCUGACUCCUUGAGAGUCCUGAAGGAACGUUGAAGACGACGACGUUGAUAGGCCGGGUGUGUAAGCGCAGCGAUGCGUUGAGCUAACCGGUACUAAUGAACCGUGAGGCUUAACCUU